rnacentral:rRNA from 1 species
GGGACAGACGCUUGCGCGGCGUGCUUAAUACAUGCAAGUCGAACGCUUCUUUUCCCACCGGAGCUUGCUCCACCGGGAAAAGAGGAGUGGCGAACGGGUGAGUAACACGUGGGUAACCUGCCCAUCAGAAGGGGAUAACACUUGGAAACAGGUGCUAAUACCGUAUAACAAUCGAAACCGCAUGGUUUCUUUUUGAAAGGCGCUUUACGGUGCCGCUGAUGGAUGGACCCGCGGUGCAUUAGCUAGUUGGUGAGGUAACCGCUCACCAAGGCCACGAUGCAUAGCCGACCUGAGAGGGUGAUCGGCCACAUUGGGACUGAGACACGGCCCAAACUCCUACGGGAGUCAGCAGUAGGGAAUCUUCGUCAAUGGACGAAAGUCUGACCGAGCAACGCCGCGUGAGUGAAGAAGGUUUUCGGAUCGUAAAACUCUGUUGUUAGAGAAGAACAAGGGUGAGAGUAACUGUUCACCCCUUGACGGUAUCUAACCAGAAAGCCACGGCUAACUACGUGCCAGCAGCCGCGUAAUACGUAGGUGGCAAGCGUUGUCGGAUUAUCGGCGUAAGCGAGCGCAGGCGCUUUCUUAGUCUGAUGUGAUGUC